GGGUCUGUAGAUCAGCGGUUAGAUCGAGAGAUUGCAGUAAAGCCAAUAUCUCUAGGUCCCCGGUUCGAGUCCGGGCAGGCCCU